rfam:Schistosoma mansoni, Puerto Rico, WGS project CABG01000000 data, contig: 0420
AAUCCGACUGUCUAAUUAAAACAAAGCAUUGCGAUGUCCACUGAUUGGUUUUGACGCAAUGUGAUUUCUGUCCAGUGCUCUGAAUGUCAAAGUGAAGAAAUUCAACCAAGCGCGGGUAAACGGCGGGAGUAACUAUGACUCUCUUCCGGUGAACAGCACGCUGCUCUCCACGGUGUUCUGAGUUU